rnacentral:rRNA from 1 species
UAGUGAUUGGUUAAGUCCCAUAACGAGCGCAACCCUUAUCUUUAGUUGCCAGCGAGUAAUGUCGGGGACUUUAAAGAGACUGCCCGUGUAAACGGGAGGAAGGUGGGGAUGACGUCAAAUCAUCACGGCCCUUACGUCCAGGGCUACACACGUGCUACAAUGGUGAGUACAGAUGGUUGCUGCUUGGUGACAAGUUUGCUAAUCUAUAAAACUCAUCUCAGUUCGGAUCGGAGUCUGAAACUCGACUCCAUGAAGUUGGAAUCGCUAGUAAUCGCAUAUCAGCCAUGAUGCGGUGAAUACGUUCCCGGGCCUUGUACACACCGCCCGUCAAGCCAUGGAAGUUGGGAGUGCCUAAAGUCGGAAACCAUAUAGGAUCCGCCUAGGGUAAAACCGAUAACUAGGGCUAAGUCGUAACAAGGUAGCCGUAR